rnacentral:lncRNA from 1 species
UGGAGAACAGGCAGCAUGAAUGGGCAGUCACUGGGCAGAAGCUGCUGACAUCCAUGGCGUGUCUCUGGUGCAUAAGUAUAAUUUGAGGAGUUUGUGACGACCUGUAGCAAUAUGGCUAAUCUUGAUUGCACAUGGAACACUAGCCAUUGCUGUACCUUGAUGCCCAAGACAUGACAAAAGAUGCAGAAGCAUUCAAAAGCAAUCAAGAACUUUAAUUAAUUUGAUUAGUGGUCUAUGAUACUUGCUGUAAGGUAACAAAGAAUUGUCCUCAAUGAUUUUUUUUUUACUAUUUUCUAAACAAAAUUAUUUGGAAAGCUUACCACCGUGACCCUUUUAAAAUAUAUUCUUCAGAAUUUACAAUGAUUUUGUAAGCAGUGUGUGCUCCAAAUCAAUACGGUUGUUAUCAUGUGUUCAUAAGCACAAGGAUGUACACAGAACCU